AAUGGCAACCCAUUCCAGUGUUCUUGCCUGGAGAAUCCCAGGGAUGGGUGAGCCUGGUGGGCUGCCGUCUGGGGUCGCACAGAGUUGGACACGACUGAAGUGACUUAGCAGCAGCAGCAGAAGACACAUCUAAUGAUGUGAAUGGAUCCUCUGGGGUUGUAUAGUGUGUGACUUUGAUAGAUUAUAUGUAUUUUAACUUUAGAAGAAAAUGCCAAACUGUUUCCAGAGUAGUUGUACCAACUUAUAUUCCCACCAUUAAUGUAUGAAGCAUCCCCAGUUUUCCAUAUUUGACCAACUUUUUUGGAUUCUUUCCUCGGCAGUAAAGAAUCCUCCUGCAAAGCAGGAGGCCCCGGUUCAAUUCCUGAGUUAGGAAGAUCCAUGGGAGAAGGGAUAGGCUACCGUUUUCAUGAACUGAAGAACUUAAUUUUAAUAUAGAGAAUAUAGUUAAAGAUGUAGAGAUUUAUAGUCAGUUCUCUUAGUGUCUUACGAAAUCUUUCUCUAGUCACAAACUGUAAAGUUACUCUUCUGUGUUAUCUUACAGCUGUAUAGUUUUGCCUUUCACACUUAGUCUAAUAUACCUGGAGGUUUUUUUUUUUUUUUUAAUGUGGUAUAAAUAAAGGACUAUUACCUUUUCUGUCAUGGAUACUCAGUUGUUUCAGCACUGUUUAUUGAAAAAUCUAUUAUUUCCCCUCUGCUUAUAGUGUUUACUUCUGUCAUACAUUGAAUAUCUGUUUGUGAAUGGGUCUGUUACUGGACUCUCUUCUAUUCUUUUGGUCCAUUUAUCUCCCCCUCACUAGUAUCCCACUGUCUUCAUUAUUUUAACUUUAAAAUAAAUUUUGGUAUCCCACCCUUUGUA